AUGGUUGAUUUCAGCAAGAGGAUCCACCACAGCUGGGGCGACAGCAAGUUGUACGGCAGCAGGUGGACACACCGCAGCUGGGGCGGCAGCAGGACCACCUGCUGCCGGCCCACCUGCUGUGAGUCCAGCUGCUGUCAGCCCUGCUGCCCCCCAACUUGCUGUCAAACCACCUGUUGCAGGACCACUUGCUGCAAACCUACUUGUGUGACCACCUGCUGCCAGCCCACCUGCUGUGAGUCCGGCUGCUGUCGGCCUUACUGCCCCCCAACUUGCUAUCAGACUAGUGAACACACCUGCUGUAGGACCA
rnacentral:lncRNA from 1 species